rnacentral:rRNA from 1 species
GGUGAACGCUGGCGGUAGGCCUAACACAUGCAAGUCGAACGGCAGCACAGUAAGAGCUUGCUCUUACGGGUGGCGAGUGGCGGACGAGUGAGGAAUACAUCGGAAUCUACUUUUUCGUGGGGGAUAACGUAGGGAAACUUACGCUAAUACCGCAUACGACCUACGGGUGAAAGCAGGGGAUCUUCGGACCUUGCGCGAUUGAAUGAGCCGAUGUCGGAUUAGCUAGUUGGCGGGGUAAAGGCCCACCAAGGCGACGAUCCGUAGCUGGUCUGAGAGGAUGAUCAGCCACACUGGAACUGAGACACGGUCCAGACUCCUACGGGAGGCAGCAGUGGGGAAUAUUGGACAAUGGGCGCAAGCCUGAUCCAGCCAUACCGCGUGGGUGAAGAAGGCCUUCGGGUUGUAAAGCCCUUUUGUUGGGAAAGAAAAGCAGCAGGUUAAUACCCCGCUGUUCUGACGGUACCCAAAGAAUAAGCACCGGCUAACUUCGUG